GUGUUCCAAAAAAGAAUUUAUAAAAUCAGUUUGGAACUCAGCUCCCAUUUUCCUAUAGGAAUAAUAGCAGAAAAUGGGGUUAGAUCCCAGGCAGGGAGCUGAAGCUCAUUUGCUGCAGAGUCUAGGGCUCUGGGACAGUACUUGCUUGAGGUGCAGCUCUAAGUUGCAGUCUGUGGAUAACCAUUCAGUGGCUAUAUAGCCUUGGUUUCCUUACCUAUGAAGGGGACCAUCACUUAUUUGGAAGGUUGAUGUGAGGAAAUUGAUCAAACUCCUGACACAGAGUAGUGAUCUCUCAGUGGACAGUGGUAGCUGUUGAAUUUUUGCAGAAGGCUUUUUUUAGUAAUCUAGUCUUGCAUUAAGUAGAUAGGUUAUUUGCUGCAUGAAAUAGUGAAUGAAUUAUUACUGAGUGCAAGAGACCUGAACUGAACCUGACAGGAGUAUUACUAUUGGAAGUUGAGGGUUGCCUUUACUCACCUUCACAUUCAGUUUAAAUUAAAACAUGCUGGGCAGUCCUGGCUGGAUGACUCAGUUGGAGUGUUGUCCCAUAUACAAAAAGUUUGGGAGUUCAAUUCCUGGUCUGAUUGCAUAUUGGAGGCAACCAAUCCAACCAAUCGAUGUUUCUCACAUGAGUGUUUCUUUCUCUCUCUCCCUUCCUCUCUGGGGGGGAAAAAAAAAAUCAAUUAAAAACAUAUCCUUGGGUGAGGAUUAAGAAGAAGAAAAAUGUGCGAGGCACAUUAUCAGGCUCAUGUCAUCUAAUUGUUCCAAUGGUCUUGUAUAGUAGAUACCGUUAUCCCCAUAUUUGAGAUGAAGAAACAGAUCUGUCGAGUUUACAUAAUUUUCCCCAAGAUCGUUAAAGCUUGGAAGCAAAUAGAGUUGGGGGUUCAAGUUCUGACUCAGAAAAGUGCACACUGUUUGCACUGGCCCAUGUACCCCCACAAAGAUACAGUGUACCAACAGAUAAAUGUUCCAUGUUA